GACAGAGGGUGCAAACGUUGUUCGGAAUUACUGGGCGUAAAGCGUGUGUAGGCGGCUUCGCAAGUCGGAUGUGAAAGUCGAAGGCUCAACCUUCGAAAGCCGGUGGAUACUGCAUGGCUAGAGUACGGAAGAGGAGUGUGGAAUUCCUGGUGUAGCGGUGAAAUGCGCAGAUAUCAGGAGGAACACCAAUGGCGAAGGCAGCACUCUGGGGACGUGACUGACGCUGAGACGCGAAAAGCGUGGGGGAGCAAAACAGG
rnacentral:rRNA from 1 species